rnacentral:rRNA from 1 species
AGAGCGAACGCUGGCGGCAGGCCUAACACAUGCAAGUCGAGCGCCCAGCAAUGGGAGCGGCAGACGGGAUAGUAACACGUGGGAACGUACCUUUCAGUUCGGAACAACCCAGGGAAACUUGGGCUAAUACCGAAUACGCCCGUAAGGGGAAAGAUUUAUCGCUGAAAGAUCGGCCCGCGUCUGAUUAGCUAGUUGGUGAGGUAAUGGCUCACCAAGGCGACGAUCAGUAGCUGGUCUGAGAGGAUGAUCAGCAUCACUGGGACUGAGACACGGCCCAGACUCCUACGGGAGGCAGCAGUGGGGAAUAUUGGACAAUGGGCGCAAGCCUGAUCCAGCCAUGCCGCGUGGAUGAUGAAGGCCCUAGGGUUGUAAAGUCUUUAACGGGGAGAUAAUGACGGUACCCGUAGAAUAAGCCCCGGCUAACUUCGUGCCAGCAGCCGC